rnacentral:rRNA from 1 species
GACGUAGGGCGCGAGCGUUGUCCGGAUUUAUUGGGCGUAAAGAGCUCGUAGGCGGCUUGUCGCGUCGGCCGUGAAAACCUGGGGCUCAACUCUGGGCGUGCGGUCGAUACGGGCAUCACUUGAGUUCGGCAGGGGAGACUGGAAUUCCUGGUGUAGCGGUGAAAUGCGCAGAUAUCAGGAGGAACACCGGUGGCGAAGGCGGGUCUCUGGGCCGAUACUGACGCUGAGGCACGAAAGCGUGGGGAGCAAACAGG